rnacentral:rRNA from 1 species
UACAGAGGUCUCGAGCGUUAGGCGGAAUCACUGGGCUUAAAGCGUGUGUAGGCGGAUCGGUAAGUACCUUGUGAAAUCCCACAGCUUAACUGUGGAACUGCUUGGUAUACUGCCAGUCUUGAGCUAGCUAGGGGCUACCGGAACAAAUGGUGGAGCGGUGAAAUGCGUAGAUAUCAUUUGGAACGCCAAUGGUGAAAACAGGUAGCUGGGGCUGUGCUGACACUGAGACACGAAAGCCAGGGGAGCAAACGGG